AUUGAACGCUGGCGGCAGGCUUAACACAUGCAAGUCGAACGAUGAAACUCUAGCUUGCUAGAGAAGAUUAGUGGCGGACGGGUGAGUAACAUUUAGGAAUCUGCCUAGUAGUGGGGGAUAGCUCGGGGAAACUCGAAUUAAUACCGCAUACGACCUACGGGUGAAAGGGGGCGCAAGCUCUUGCUAUUAGAUGAGCCUAAAUCAGAUUAGCUAGUUGGUGGGGUAAAGGCCUACCAAGGCGACGAUCUGUAACUGGUCUGAGAGGAUGAUCAGUCACACCGGAACUGAGACACGGUCCGGACUCCUACGGGAGGCAGCAGUGGGGAAUAUUGGACAAUGGGGGCAACCCUGAUCCAGCCAUGCCGCGUGUGUGAAGAAGGCCUUUUGGUUGUAAAGCACUUUAAGCAGGGAGGAGAGGCUAAUGGUUAAUACCCAUUAGAUUAGACGUUACCUGCAGAAUAAGCACCGGCUAACUCUGUGCCAGCCGCCGCGGUAAUACAGAGGGUGCGAGCGUUAAUCGGAAUUACUGGGCGUAAAGCGAGUGUAGGUGGCUCAUUAAUCCAUGUGAAAUCCCCGGGCUUAACCUGGGAACUGCAUGUGAUACUGGUGGUGCUAGAAUAUGUGAGAGGGAAGUAGAAUUCCAGGUGUAGCGGUGAAAUGCGUAGAGAUCUGGAGGAAUACCGAUGGCGAAGGCAGCUUCCUGGCAUAAUAUUGACACUGAGAUUCGAAAGCGUGGGUAGCAAACAGGAUUAGAUACCCUGGUAGUCCACGCCGUAAACGAUGUCUACUAGCCGUUGGGGUCCUUGAGACUUUAGUGGCGCAGUUAACGCGAUAAGUAGACCGCCUGGGGAGUACGGCCGCAAGGUUAAAACUCAAAUGAAUUGACGGGGGCCCGCACAAGCGGUGGAGCAUGUGGUUUAAUUCGAUGCAACGCGAAGAACCUUACCUGGUCUUGACAUAGUGAGAAUCCUGCAGAGAUGCGGGAGUGCCUUCGGGAACUCACAUACAGGUGCUGCAUGGCUGUCGUCAGCUCGUGUCGUGAGAUGUUGGGUUAAGUCCCGCAACGAGCGCAACCCUUUUCCUUAUUUGCCAGCGGGUUAAGCCGGGAACUUUAAGGAUACUGCCAGUGACAAACUGGAGGAAGGCGGGGACGACGUCAAGUCAUCAUGGCCCUUACGACCAGGGCUACACACGUGCUACAAUGGUAGGUACAGAGGGUUGCUACACAGCGAUGUGAUGCUAAUCUCAAAGAGCCUAUCGUAGUCCGGAUUGGAGUCUGCAACUCGACUCCAUGAAGUCGGAAUCGCUAGUAAUCGCAGAUCAGAAUGCUGCGGUGAAUACGUUCCCGGGCCU
rnacentral:rRNA from 1 species